UAACCUGCUUUCUGGAACACCCCCCCCCCAAGUCAAACAUUUCUGAACAUUAAAUGAAUUUAAUUGGGAUUAUGGGGGAAAAAAUUGUUAUGAUUCCAUAAUUAUUCAAGCAUAUUGCUGUGAAACCUUCAAAUGAGUUCUUUUGAAAAGUAGUUAGAGCACCAUUUUUGAAAACAAGAAUUAUUCAUCUGUUGGCUCAAAUUUAGCCUAUUACCCAAAAACAUUUAAAAUUCAACUUAGAAGCCAAUACUCACAUCUACCUCUGAGCCCAGUUGGAGAUAGAAAAAAUACACCAGCCGUGAGUGAGAAGAAGCAAGGGUCCAGCUUUAUUGUUCCAUUCCACCACACAAGAUCCACACCGAUGAGAAUUCUCAGAGGUGGUCCCAAUCCCCUGAGCUUAAGCUCCAGUAUUUAUACUGUAUUUACACACUAAAUAACCCAUAUGUUUCAAGAAGACUAUGAUCUCACUACCAAUAGGGUUAAAAAAAAAAAGAGCUCAUUUACCUUACUCUUAUGUUCCAGAAAAGGGCUAUUUCACUUACACAUAGAAUUGAAACCAGGGGUUUUAAUUUACACAUAAAAUCAGAACCCAGGCAUUUCUAAUAACCCAGAAAAUAAAAACCCAGAGUUUCCAGUUACUCAGAGGAUCAGAAACCAGAGUUUUCAGUUACCCAGGGCAUCAGAAACUUCCGUUUUCAGUUACCCAGAGAAUAGAAAGUGGAGGAGACUAAACAAUCUAAUGGGACCUUGGUCUUAUUGUUAUCUCGAGGGGGGGCAGUUUGACCCAGCCACCCUUAUAACUGGCUCCUCAUGGUUCUCUUAAAAUUAAGGCCUUCCUUGCGAGACGAGAAUUUUAAUCUACAAGAAUCUUCACCAUCUGAAUCAUGAGUGCCGGUGCCCGUCGUCAGUCGCUUCUCUCUCCAUUACUGGACCUGGAUCUGGAUCUGGAUCUCGAUCUGGACACUCAUUACCAGCUUGUGCAUCUCACUGCUGAUAUCAUGAUGCUACUUAACUAUCUUCGCAGCACCCCCCCUAGGAAUGGAGAUCCGGGGUUCCCCCCUCUUCUUUGAUACAGAAUCUGCCCCGUGAACGUGCGUGUUGACGCCUCUACACAGUCAGAACCCCCCUCCAGCUUCCAGUCCGAGGAUGAUGUCGUCUUCUCUGAUCCGGGCCCCGACCAUUCGUCCCUCUUCUCACCUACCAGUCCGCCCGACUCUCAGUGGUCCGUUCACUUCACCCUCGCUGAUUUCCCCAUGUCCCCAGGACGCACCCCAUUUUCUUCCCCCUCUCGCUCUCCUCCAGACUACGCACCCACCCGUCCUGUGAAUUACCAAUAAAAUUACAUUUUUACUCAUA